rnacentral:rRNA from 1 species
UAAAGGAGGUACAGCUCCUUUAAAAAAGAAUACAACCUCUCCUAGCGGAUAAACCCACCACACAGACAAAACAAUUGUGGGCCUUCAAGCAGCCAUCAACAAAGAGUGCGUCAAAGCUCCAUUCCCUACAAAACCACAAAACUACAUGACUCCCUUCCCACUAACAGGUUAACCUAUUACAAUAGGAGAAUUAAUACUAAAAUGAGUAACUAGGGCAUACCCCUCUCAAGCGCAAACUUACAUCCUACAUUAUUAACAGACAUCUAAUAUUUCCAUAUCAACAAGAUCACAUAUUUUACUACCUGUUAACCCAACCCAGGAGCGCCUACUAGAAAGAUUAAAAUCUGUAAAAGGAACUAGGCAAACCUUCAAGGCCCGACUGUUUACCAAAAACAUAGCCUUCAGCGAAACCAAGUAUUGAAGGUGAUGCCUGCCCAGUGACUUACGUUCAACGGCCGCGGUAUCCUAACCGUGCGAAGGUAGCGCAAUCAAUUGUCCCAUAAAUCGAGACUUGUAUGAACGGCUAAACGAGGUCUUAACUGUCUCUUACAGAUAAUCAGUGAAAUUGAUCUCCCUGUGCAAAAGCAGGAAUAAAUACAUAAGACGAGAAGACCCUGUGGAACUUAAAAACCAGCAGCCACCCCACAAACAUAAACCAGACCUACUCAGGCCUACCACUACAACACAUCUGGCUCGCAUUUUUUCGGUUGGGGCGACCUUGGAGAAAAACAAACCCUCCAAAAAUAAGACCACCCACUCUUAACUAAGAGCAACCCCUCAAUGUACUAAUAGUAACCAGACCCAAUAUACUUGAUCAAUGGACCAAGCUACCCCAGGGAUAACAGCGCAAUCCCCUCCAAGAGCCCAUAUCGACGAAGGGGUUUACGACCUCGAUGUUGGAUCAGGACAUCCUAAUGGUGCAGCAGCUAUUAAGGGUUCGUUUGUUCAACGAUUAACAGUCCUACGUGAUCUGAGUUCAGACCGGAGCAAUCCAGGUCGGUUUCUAUCUAUGAUGAACUUUCCCUAGUACGAAAGGACCGGGAAAGUGAGGCCAAUACAAAUUGCACGCCCCCUCUCUAAGUAAUGACCUCAACUGAAUUACCAAGAGAUUCCCCAUAACAAUAAAUCCUAGAAAAGGAUC